UUAGAUUUGGAAAUAUGGAAAACGCCAAGCAAGAAGCAAUUAAGGCUAAUUCAGGUGGAGAACUUUUAAUUGAUACAAAAUAUGAGCCAUUGAUCCCUAAGAAAGAGAAGUCAACUCAAUCAAAGAAGUUUUAGUUUUUUUAAGGGUUUUUUGUUUUUUCUACUUUAUGUAAUGAAAAAUUUUUUUCGCUUGAUUUUUGCAUACAUUUAGCAUCAUUGGCUAUAAAAUCAUCGAUGUACAUUUGGAUUGUAAAUC